CAGCCCUAAACGAUGCGCGUUAGGUGUAUCGGUGACCACGAGUCACCGAGGUGCCGAAGGGAAACCGUGAAACGUGCCGCCUGGGAAGUACGGUCGCAAGGCUGAAACUUAAAGGAAUUGGCGGGGGAGCACCACAACGGGUAGAGCCUGCGGUUUAAUUGGACUCAACGCCGGGAAGCUCACCGGAUAAGACAGCGGAAUGAUUGCCGGGCUGAAGACCCUGCAUGACCAGCUGAGAGGAGGUGCAUGGCGUAGUCGUGU
rnacentral:rRNA from 1 species